rnacentral:rRNA from 1 species
AACGAACGCUGGCGGCAGGCCUAACACAUGCAAGUCGAGCGCCCCGCAAGGGGAGCGGCGGACGGGUGAGUAACACGUGGGAAUUUUCCUCAAGGUACGGAACAACUCAGGGAAACUUGGGCUAAUACCGUAUGAUGCAGAGAUGCCAAAGAUUUAUCGCCUUGGGAUAAGCCCGCGUCAGAUUAGGUAGUUGGUGGGGUAACGGCCUACCAAGCCUGUGAUCUGUAGCUGGUCUGAGAGGACGAUCAGCCACAUUGGGACUGAGACACGGCCCAAACUCCUACGGGAGGCAGCAGUGGGGAAUCUUGCGCAAUGGACGAAAGUCUGACGCAGCCAUGCCGCGUGAAUGAUGAAGGUCUUAGGAUUGUAAAGUUCUUUAGCCUGUGACGAUGAUGACGGUAACAGGAAAAUAAGCCCCGGCUAACUUCGUGCCAGCAGCCGCCGUAACAC